CCCCCGCCGUCCCCGCCGCGGGCUCCCGGCCGGCCCGGCGCCUCUUUCCCCGUGUUUCUGCACCUGGGAAGUGGGAGCCGUUCGUUCCCGGCUGGGUGACCUUCAGCAGGUUCACACGUGGAAGGACACGCGCGUCCCCCAGGGUGGUGGGCGGAGGUCGGCGCAUUGGUCGGAACCUUCACUUAGCGGUCAAGAAUGGUUCACGAUCCUGAGCUCCGCAUUUUUCCCUGGAAGAGGAGUCGAACAUUCUCCACCUACUCUCUGACCACCUGGUUGAUACAAGACUCCUUGGCCCCCUGACAGGCCACAUCCACCUGUGAGAAGUUUCCAGGGCCCGUCUCUUCCCCCACCAUCCUCGCUUUCCUCUAGUUACCACGCUUCUCAGCAGACUGUACGCGGGGUGGGACCCUGGAAGAAGUUGGUGGCUCACCAUGAACCCUGGGGCCUGGCACCAAGCAGGUGCUCACCAACCCCUGCUGGCUGAUGGAUACCAUGGACUGCAUUUCUCUCAUUUGUUUUAAUAAUAUUCUAAAUCUUCGAGAGACCUGGAUUUCAGAAAUAUAUUUUCUUGUGCUCAAGA